CUCAUCCUUGGUGUACUCUAACACCUCAGCAACAUGACGGAGAAUGCUGUAAACCUAGAGACAAAAUGAAGGGCUCAACAAUCCAAAGAAACACACAUGGCAGAAGAGAAAAGACACGAGAGAAGGGCAAACAAAUGAGAAACAAUGGAAACAGUGCCAUCAAGAACCAAGGAUCCAGGGCAUGAAGGAUAAUCUAAACAGGACCAGAGAACAAUCCAGACAGAAGAUGAAAGCAGAAACGGCUGUCCUUGCUUUAUUCAUGCUUACUGCGGGGAAGUAGAAAAUUAAAAGAAGAAAAAACAACUUUAAC